rnacentral:misc_RNA from 1 species
CCCACUUGGAAUAAAUCCUUCCUCAAAUUUUGAAGUGAGAGAAUAAAAUCUUCAUUGGAGGAUUACACCUAAUAAUCUCCUUGGCCAAUAUCGACAAAAUGGAAUUGAACAAGAUUGAAUUGAAGAACGAGACAUCUUCCUUUGCAUCAUUAGAAAAGCCUGGACAGAUAAAAUCAAAGGAAACAAUAAAGGGUAAAAAGUUAGAAAGAUCUUCAAUUUCCACCAUCUCCUUGAUUUUCUCCAAUGU